AAACCGGGCGAUCUAUCCAUGGGCAGGUUGAAGGUUGGGUAACACUAACUGGAGGACCGAACCGACUACCGUUGAAAAGUUAGCGGAUGACCUGUGGAUCGGAGUGAAAGGCUAAUCAAGCUCGGAGAUAGCUGGUUCUCCUCGAAAGCUAUUUAGGUAGCGCCUCAUGUAUCACUGUAGGGGGUAGAGCACUGUUUCGGCUAGGGGGUCAUCCCGACUUACCAAACCGAUGCAAACUCCGAAUACCUACAAGUGCCGAGCAUGGGAGACACACGGCGGGGGCUAACGUCCGUCGUGAAAAGGGAAACAACCCAGACCGUCAGCUAAGGUCCCAAAGUUAUGGUUAAGUGGGAAACGAUGUGGGAAGGCUUAGACAGCUAGGAGGUUGGCUUAGAAGCAGCCACCCUUUAAAGAAAGCGUAAUAGCUCACUAGUCGAGUCGGCCUGCGCGGAAGAUGUAACGGGGCUCAAACCAUACACCGAAGCUACGGGUAUCACGUAAGUGAUGCGGUAGAGGAGCGUUCUGUAAGCCUGUGAAGGUGAGUUGAGAAGCUUGCUGGAGGUAUCAGAAGUGCGAAUGCUGACAUGAGUAACGACAAUGGGUGUGAAAAACACCCACGCCGAAAGACCAAGGUUUCCUGCGCAACGUUAAUCGACGCAGGGUUAGUCGGUCCCUAAGGCGAG
rnacentral:rRNA from 1 species